GACUCUGUCCAGCACUCUGUCAAUACCUUCUUUCAUUCCUGUCUUAUGCUUGUCUAACUAUAUUGCUACAAAUAUGGUCUAACUAUAUUUCUGAGUUAUGUUGAUUUUUUUCCUUCAUAUGCUUCUCUUGGACACUUCCUCACUGAGGUCCUGGUUCUGAUCCAUAAUCAUACCCUUUAAUUUAACCCUAUCCUAAGGAGCUAACUUGGGCAGAACAAUACCAAGAUGUUGAGGCCCUAGUCCUAGAAUUUUAGACUUCUUUUAGUAUGAUAGACCCCUUUAGCUAUCUACCUAAAAUAUCCAAAUGUCAUUACUAUUAUUAUUUUUUGAGAUGGAGUCUUGCUCUGUUGCCCAGGGUGGAGUGUAAUGGCAUGAUCUCUGCUCACUGCAACCUCCACCUUUCGGGUUCAAGUGAUUCUCCCGCCUCAGCUUUCAGAGCGGCUGGGAUUACGGGUAUGCGCCACCAUGCUCGGCUAAUUUUUGUAUUUUUAGUAGAGGUGGGGUUUCACCAUGUUGGCCAGGCUGGUCUUGAACUCCUGACCUCAGGUGAUCCGCCCACCUCGUCCUCCCAAAGUGCUGGGAUUACAGGCGUGAGCCACUGCGCCCUGCUCAAAUGUUAUUAUUAAGAAGAGUACUAAACAGUCAUUCUAAAGAUAAUUGAUUCAAAUGCUUACUUUUUGUUACUUUUGCAUUGUAGAGACAAACUACAUGCAAAAAGAGUGAAAACAAAUCUUGUCUUCCAUUACAUAAUUUUAUAAAUACUUAAAUUUUUAAAAUUCUUACAGAC
rnacentral:lncRNA from 1 species